rnacentral:sRNA from 1 species
GGAAGCGGAUCGGGUGGAGUGUAGGUCAUAUCGCCGCGUGAGGAGCGCCUCUGCCCAGCAGCCGCCCCAUCUGGGAAGUGAGGAGUGCCUCUGCCCGGCCGCCCCAUCUGGUAGGUGAGGAGCGCCUCUGCCCAGCAGCCGCCCCGUCUGGGAAGUGAGGAGUGCCUCUGCCCGGCCGCCCCAUCUGGGAAGUGAGGAGCGCCUCUGCCCGGCCGCCCCAUCUGGGAGGUGAGGAGCGCCUCUGCCCAGCAGCCGCCCCGUCUGGGAAGUGAGGAGCACCUCUGCCCGGCCGCCCCAUCUGGGAGGUGGGGAGCGCCUCUGCCCAGCAGCCGCCCCGUCUGGGAAGUGAGGAGUGCCUCUGCCCGGCCGCCCCAUCUGGGAGGUGAGGAGCGCCUCU